rnacentral:rRNA from 1 species
UACGUAGGGUGCAAGCGUUGUCCGGAAUUACUGGGCGUAAAGAGCUCGUAGGCGGUUUGUCACGUCGGAUGUGAAAUCCCGAGGCUCAACCUCGGGUCUGCAUACGAUACGGGCAGACUAGAGUUCGGUAGGGGAGACUGGAAUUCCUGGUGUAGCGGUGAAAUGCGCAGAUAUCAGGAGGAACACCGGUGGCGAAGGCGGGUCUCUGGGCCGAUACUGACGCUGAGGAGCGAAAGCGUGGGGAGCAAACAGG